AACGUAGGUACCGAGCGUUAUCCGGAUUUACUGGGCGUAAAGCGCGUUCAGGCGGUUUGGCAAGUCGGGCAUGAAAUCUCUCGGCUCAACCGGGAGAGGUUGUCCGAUACUUCCAGACUUGAGGGCAGUAGAGGGUGGUGGAAUUCCGGGUGUAGUGGUGAAAUGCGUAGAUAUCCGGAGGAACACCAGUGGCGAAAGCGGCCACCUGGACUGCACCUGACGCUGAGACGCGAAAGCGUGGGGAGCAAACAGG
rnacentral:rRNA from 1 species